CUUACGACUCUUGGCCAGUCCCUAAGGACAGCUUUUGAUUUAUUAAAUUUAAAUAGAUUAGUAACUGGCAUAGACAACUAUGGGCAGUGCUGAACAGUUUGGGAGAUGAGCCAUUUUUCUAACAACACUGCAUGUCCAAAAGUACUGGAAGGAGCACAACUUUUUCAAAACACUUUCUUUCCAGUGAGUUUACCUCAACAUUUCUCUGCGUAUGUGUAUUUUUAUAAACCUGCCUGUUGUAUCAGAGCCUCGAGAGACUUUGCUUUUUUAAUCUCUCUAUUGCAACUAUCCCUUUGAAACAGGAUUUUUUUGGUGUGGGCCAGCAUUCUCAUGCUCAUUAGUAUGAGCUGCUGAAAUACAGAUGUUGUAGGUUAAACAUGUGCAUUAGGACUCAGAGUUCUUUCUGGUGCUGGAUCAAAGCCUGGAUUUCCUUCACUUGAAGGGUACUACUCGUGUUGGGCAAAGUAUAUAAUGUACUCAUGUGGGGCCUACUGACUUGAAUCUCCCCUUUUUGUUGGUUAUUCUCAGUAAUUGUCCACUCUCUGAGGAUUAGUGCUUAGUACUGCUCUUGGUAUUUAACAUGGGAAUGUGGUUGUGAACAUAAGUCCCCGUCUCUUUCCAGUCUAAGCAGGGUUCGUGAUAACAUGCCAUGUUUGUUUGUGAAGGAAAUUUGUCAUGCUGCAUUUUAUGGCUUCCCCAUGAGAUGAUCAAGUGACCCUAAACAUUUUUACAAUGCCUGUUUAGGAUGUAACUUUAAAAAAAGUGCUAGUUCCACACAUGGGAACACAUUUUCCUAUGGCCGUCUGCUGUCCUCAUACAUCUGUGUGUAAUUUUCCCAUUUUUCUGGUGUUUUUGUUUAGUUACAGGAGCUGUAUUACUCUUGAACACUUAACCCCUCUAGGCCCACACACAAAAUACUUGGUCUUUCCCAUUGCUACUGAUAAUUACUCUAAUUAAACCCAUGUCAAAUAAUUUGCUCUAAGUGAACCAGCUGUGCUCAACUACUCAAGUGGGCAGUUGAGUUGUCAUGACUGUUUUGACUCACUAGUAGUGUUCAUUACUGCAAUAGCUGUUCUUUUGCCUGUGAAACAAUGACUGUUUGAUCUGUUCUGGUUGCAAUUCUCUCUGGGCUUGAACCCAUCCUCACUUAGGAACAUUUUUCUCCAUUCCACAUGUGGAGCUGGCUGUUGAAGAGGUAUUCACAUGUUUAGUCAGGUGACUAAAUCAAAAUUCUAACUCUAUUUAGCAAAAAUAGAUGAAUGUAUUGCAAAUGGCAGGUCAUCUGGUGCUGAAGUCAAAGGUUCCCAUUUUGGCUAAUCUAACCUAAAUAGCAAUUUUUAAAAAAGAAAUCAAAUUCCACAAUACUUAACUGAUCCUUCAGCAUUUGCAGGAUGAGAUCUGGGGCAGCUAAUUGUCCUCAACUUCACACUGGUCUUUGUUUUGGUAGCUUGCCAUCUUGUUCUUGUCUACCACCUAAAAUUUAAUCCAAAUACUUACCAUUGCAUGGUAUAAGAAACUUAAAAAACCAGGAAAAUAAAAGUGGUCAGAGUGCUUAGUUGCAAUUGAAAUAGUUUUCAUUCAGAACAGAAACUGCUGAUUAACUUUUUUCUAAAGAAGCUGCAAAUACUAAGACUACAAAAUAGUAGUUAACUGAAAUUUAGCAGGCAGAUAUUGGAAGACUGAGUAUGUCAGAGUAAGAGAAGAUAAUUUUACAAAAAACCCCAAUGUAUAGACCAUCUUAGGUGUGGUAUUAUGUGAUGUAAUAAAAUCCAAACUUCAUCUUCUGCGGGAAAUUUCUGUGGCUAAAAAAUCUUUGGACUGUCAUGCUUGUAUUUUGGUGUAUUGACUUCUAAAUAGUUGUUGAGAUCCACUUGUUACAUGAAAAUGAACAAAUGUAAAACAGACUUUUCUUACACAUGCAAAUGACAAGACAUGAUACAAGCCUGAUGGGAUUGUCUGGUUAUGUCUCUACCAGUGUGAUAUCUUGUACCCCUGCUGAGUGUGAACUGUUUGUUUAAAUGGCAGAGUGACGCAAUAUACUCGAUUUCUUUAAAAGUUGACCAGAGUUCUCCAUCAGCUGACCUUCUGAACAAGAAUGGUGGCUGAACGGUCAUUCUGAAGUUGGGGAAAAUCUGCUUCAUAUUUUCUUGCAGCUUUAAUGUUUGGAUUUUUAUUGUUUAUCAUACUGCUCUUUAAGCAAAUAAGUACUGGCAUAAAGAUUGAGUUACCAUGUGAUCAGCUGAUCACAGGAUCUCAUGUUUAGAUCUUAAAGGACACUGUCAACACACUUAAA